rnacentral:piRNA from 1 species
CAGAGGUGACGUUAUGAUGAUGAUA